AUGAAGCCAUCCAUUCCUACUGUAGUCCCUUUCUUGUGGCUGUGGAUGAACUGGGAGAGCCUCGGAGAGCAGGUGGAGCAGCACCCUUCUUCCCUGAGUGUUCACGAGGGAGGCAGCGCUGUCAUCAACUGCACUUACACAGACAGUGCUUCCUUAUACUUCCCUUGGUACAAGCAAGAAGCUGGAAAGGGUCCCCACCUUGGGAUAGACAUUCGUGGAAAUGUGGACAGAAAGCAGAACCAAAGGCUCACCAUUUUCUUGGAUAAGAAAGCCAAAUGCUUCUCCCUGCACAUCACGGACACUCAGCCUGGAGACUCAGCCAUGUACUUCUGUGCAGCAAGACCUAUCACUCAGAAGGGACAGAUUUAG